CCUACGGGCGGCAGCAGUCGAGAAUCAUUCACAAUGGGGGAAACCCUGAUGGUGCGACGCCGCGUGGGGGAAUGAAGGUCUUCGGAUUGUAAACCCCUGUAAUGGGGGAGCAAAUUAAAAGGAUAGUACCACAAGAGGAAGAGACGGCGUACUCUGUGCCAGAAGCCGCGGUAAAACAGAGGUCUCAAGCGUUGUUCGGAAUCACUGGGCGUAAAGCGUGCGUAGGCUGUUUCGUAAGUCGUGUGUGAAUGGCGCGGGCUCAACCCGCGGACGGCACAUGAUACUAGGAGACUAGAGUAAGGGAGGGGGAAGCGGAAUUCUCGGUGAAGCAGUGAAAUGCGUAGAUAUCGGGAGGAACACUCGAGGCGAAGGCGGGUUCCUGGGCAUUAACUGACGCUGAGGGACGAAGGCCAGGGGAGCGAAAGGGAUUAGAUACCCGGGUAGUC
rnacentral:rRNA from 1 species